rnacentral:rRNA from 1 species
ACUCCUACGGGAGGCAGCAGUGAGGAAUAUUGGUCAAUGGACGCAAGUCUGAACCAGCCAUGUCGCGUGCAGGAUGACGGCCCUAUGGGUUGUAAACUGCUUUCGUACGGGAAGAAAAUAGGGUAUGUAUACCCUUUUGCCGGUACUGUACGAAUAAGCAUCGGCUAACUCCGUGCCAGCAGCCGCGGUAAUACGGAGGAUGCGAGCGUUAUCCGGAUUUAUUGGGUUUAAAGGGUGCGUAGGCGGAAUGGUAAGUCAGUGGUGAAAUGGUGCAGCUCAACUGUAGCAUUGCCAUUGAUACUGUCAUUCUUGAGUACAGAUGAGGUAGGCGGAAUGUAGCAUGUAGCGGUGAAAUGCUUAGAUAUGCUACAGAACACCGAUAGCGAAGGCAGCUUACUAAAUUGAAACUGACGCUCAUGCACGAAAGCGUGGGGAUCAAACAGGAUUAGAUACCCUGGUAGUC